rnacentral:rRNA from 1 species
AUUGAACGCUGGCGGCAGGCCUAACACAUGCAAGUCGAACGCGUGGCGGACGGGUGAGUAAUGUCUGGGACACUGCGCGAUGGAGGGGGAUAACUACUGGAAACGGUAGCUAAUACCGCAUAUCCUCGUAUGUGCCCAGAUGGGAUUAGCUAGUAGGGGGGGUAACGGCUCACCUAGGCGACGAUCCCUAGCUGGUCUGAGAGGAUGACCAGCCACACUGGAACUGAGACACGGUCCAGACUCCUACGGGAGGCAGCAGUGGGGAAUAUUGCACAAUGGGCGCAAGCCUGAUGCAGCCAUGCCGCGGGUAUGAAGAAGGCCUUCGGGUUGUAAAGUACUUUCAGCGGGGAGGCGUUACCCGCAGAAGAAGCACCGGCUAACUCCGUGCCAGCAGCCGCGGUAAUUC